AUGGGAUUGUCAAGUAACUGUGCUAAGACAAUCAAGAUCCAGCAGUGUGUGAAAUUGCCUGAUUCCAAAUAUCUUCACAUCAACGAUGAGCUCGCUGGGUGCUUUGGUACCGAAGAUCAUGGCGAUGGGCGGGCGGCUCUUGUUCUCAGCCCGUUCGGCAAGAAUGUCUGGCCUGUCAAGGUUGACCGAGACGCCAAAGGGGCAUUCCUGGGUGAUGGGUGGCCACAGUUUGUUGCCGCGCACGGUAUCGGCGUUGGCUGGUACUUGGUGAUCCGGCAUGAAGGGUGCGGCGUGCUCACUCUAAAGGCGUUCAACGCCAGCUUUGUCAUUAAAGAGUUCGGCCUAACGAUCACUGUUUUGAGCCCAGCCGAGAUUGAGAACGCCUUUGCUCGUAAGCCACAGUUCAUCGUGCCACUUCAGAGAAGUUUCAUGGAAAAGAUGCCUAUUCCUCCCGAGUUUCUGCAACGAGGAUACAUCUCGGAAGAAGACCUGAACAGACCGAGACCGAUAGCCACUUUUUUAACAUCCUGGCAUAUCGAGCUCAAGAAGGAUGGCCCGAAUGUCUUCUUCACUGGUUCCGAAUGGCCAAAGUUUCUGGCCUACUUUGAAAUUGCUGAAACCGAUGUCCUGCUGAUCAAGUAUCAGGGGUGCAUGAACUUCUCAUUCGAGACCUUCCAAAAUGGGAAUAAUGAGAACAUCGAGGAAAAAAUAAGCUCGUCUCAGCAAAGCGAGCAAUCACCUGCAGCACAAUGCCAAGAGGACGAACAUGUUUCCACUCGAAGAAGGACACAAAGCAAUGGCAUAACACCUGGAGCACAAAGCCAAGAGGAAGAACAUGUUUCCACUCAGACAAGGAAACAAAGCAAUGGCAAAACACCUGGAGCACAAAGCGAAGAAGAAGAACCUGUCUCCACUCAGAAAAGGAAACAAAGCAAUGGCAAAACACCUGGAGCACAAAGCCAAGAGGAAGAACAUGUUUGCACCCGGAAAAGGAAACAAAGCGAAGUCAAAAGCAUGCUAGACGGAUCCACAACUUCACAACACCGAAAGAAGGCUCUCUGUGAGCUUGGGUCGACGGGGUCGCAGGCUUGGUUAAGGAAGGAGAUCAACGAACUCGCGCUUAAAAGAUAUCUUCAUUUUCCAGCGCGCUUCGGAUUCCUGGAGCGUUGCAAGAUCACGCUCAAGUCCGUGGAGAGGAACAAGUCUUGGGAGGUGGAAGGUGUCAACUACCAUCCAGGCACCCGCAGGUCUUAUAAUUGUCUUACGAGAGGCUGGAAGGCCUUCUGUAAGGAGAACGAGCUCAAGGCAGGAGACAUCUGCACCUUCAAAGUCGUCAACAGCACGCUGUGGCAUGUUGUCAUCGACCGCUGCUAG
rnacentral:rRNA from 1 species